rnacentral:rRNA from 1 species
CCCCUAGAUGUUCUGGGCCGCACGCGCGCUACACUGAACAGUUCAACAAGUCUUAACCUUGGCCGAUAGGUCUGGGUAAUCUUUGAACGCUGUUCGUGAUUGGGAUAGACCUUUGCAAUUAUGGGUCUUCAACGAGGAAUUCCUAGUAAACGCAAGUCAUCAGCUUGCAUCGAUUACGUCCCUGCCCUUUGUACACACCGCCCGUCGCACCUACCGAUUGAGUGGUCCGGUGAAAUCUCGGGACGGCGGCUUGGUCGCUUGCGUCCGACUGCUGAAACUUGAUUAAACCAUAUCAUUUAGAGGAAGGUGAANUCGUANCA